rnacentral:rRNA from 1 species
AUUAUACCGCGAACUGCGAAUGGCUCAUUAAAUCAGUUAUCGUUUAUUUGAUAGUACCUUACUACUUGGAUAACCGUGGUAAUUCUAGAGCUAAUACAUGCUGAAAACCCCGACUUCGGAAGGGAUGUAUUUAUUAGAUUAAAAACCAAUGCCCUUCGGGGCUCACUGGUGAUUCAUAAUAACUUCUCGAAUCGCACGGCCUUGCGCCGGCGAUGGUUCAUUCAAAUUUCUGCCCUAUCAACUUUCGACGGCUGGGUCUUGGCCAGCCAUGGUGACAACGGGUAACGGAGGGUUAGGGCUCGACCCCGGAGAAGGAGCCUGAGAAACGGCUACUACAUCCAAGGAAGGCAGCAGGCGCGCAAAUUACCCAAUCCCGACACGGGGAGGUAGUGACAAUAAAUACUGAUACAGGGCUCUUUUGGGUCUUGUAAUUGGAAUGAGUACAAUUUAAUUCCCUUAACGAGGAACAAUUGGAGGGCAAGUCUGGUGCCAGCAGCCGCGGUAAUUCCAGCUCCAAUAGCGUAUAUUAAAGUUGUUGCAGUUAAAAAGCUCGUAGUUGAACCUUGGGCCUGGCUGGCCGGUCCGCCUCACCGCGUGCACUGGUCCGGCCGGGUCUUUCCCUCUGGGGAGCCGCAUGCCCUUCACUGGGUGUGUCGGGGAACCAGGACUUUUACUUUGAAAAAAUUAGAGUGUUCAAAGCAGGCUUAUGCUCGGAUACAUUAGCAUGGAAUAAUAGAAUAGGACGUGCGGUUCUAUUUUGUUGGUUUCUAGGACCGCCGUAAUGAUUAAUAGGGACAGUCGGGGGCAUCAGUAUUCAAUUGUCAGAGGUGAAAUUCUUGGAUUUAUUGAAGACUAACUACUGCGAAAGCAUUUGCCAAGGAUGUUUUCAUUAAUCAGGAACGAAAGUUAGGGGAUCGAAGACGAUCAGAUACCGUCGUAGUCUUAACCAUAAACUAUGCCGACUAGGGAUCGGACGAUGUUAUUUUUUGACUCGUUCGGCACCUUACACGAAAGUACAAGUU